UUAAACCCGUUGAAGGGGAAAAGUAACUUGGUCUGAUCUUACAGAGAGCCGGUGGGUGGUGUGAACCGGUAGAGAAGUUCAGGUGAAUUCCUCCCCGGAGGGGAUCUGCCGAACCCGGUAAGAGAUAAACAAGGGCUGUGAAGUAGGUGGAUACGGGACGAUACCCGUUAUAACGAACGAGAGGGCCAGGGAUAUUUAGAAUGUUUUCCUGGUCAAUAAGGGUGGCAACGCGGGAGUAUACCUCUCGUCCCUAAU
rnacentral:ncRNA from 1 species